rnacentral:lncRNA from 1 species
GACUUCAAGUGCUUAGUUCUAAUGAAUGCCAAAGCAAUACAUCAAUAAUACAACCAAAUACCUUACAUAAUUACUGCUUUCAUUCUCUUGGUUCAGCUUUCGGGCAUAAAUGCUUAAUUACAUUUAACUUUGUCUUACAGCAUUAUCUCCAUGUUGUUUUAUGUCAGCCUGCCAACACCACAUAUCACCACUGCAAGCAUAAUGCUCAUGCCCAUGGCUCUCACAUGCUUUGAGAUAAACCGCCAUUCAGAGGAUGUUCCCAAAAAGACAAGACAGAAAUGGAGGACAGCCCUCUAAGUGAAACAGGAAUUGCAGGAUGAGCAACCACACUCGAGAGAGCAGCGGCUGCCAAGCAGGCCACCAAUGGCCUGCUUAGCACCACCAACCAGAGAGUGAAAGAACAAGAACCAAGCAGAACAAGAUGCAGAAGUAAUGUCAAGCAGUAGUUCCCUCCAACCCAGAGCAGUACUGCACAAGUUCCAGGAUCACACCUUGCGCUAAAGAUAACAAAGUCUAGAUACAGCAGUUAAGCAAGGUAUGCUGCGCACAAUUGUGUUAACAUGAACGCAAGGUGCCGUGUGUUCAUGA